UUAGUCAAAGCCAAAAAGAGGCGUGCCACUGUUAAUGGUUGAAAUGAAGUUCCCUUCUGACUAAA
rnacentral:tRNA from 1 species